CGGUCCUACGGGAGACAGCAGUGAGGAAUAUUGGUCAAUGGACGAGAGUCUGAACCAGCCAAGUAGCGUGCAGGAUGACGGCCCUACGGGUUGUAAACUGCUUUUAUACGGGAAUAACGCGCCUUACGUGUAGGGCUUUGCAUGUACCGUAUGAAUAAGGACCGGCUAAUUCCGUGCCAGCAGCCGCGGUAAUACGGAAGGUCCGGGCGUUAUCCGGAUUUAUUGGGUUUAAAGGGAGCGUAGGCCGCAUGUCAAGCGUGCUGUGAAAUGUCCGGGCUCAACCCGGGCCUUGCAGCGCGAACUGG
rnacentral:rRNA from 1 species